rnacentral:rRNA from 1 species
AAAAAAGGUAAGCUACUAAGAGCGAAUGGUGGAUGCCUUGACUGGUAAAGGCGAUGAAGGACGUACUAGACUGCGAUAAGCUACGGGGAGCUGUCAAGAAGCUUUGAUCCGUAGAUUUCCGAAUGGGGCAACCCAAUGUAUAGAGAUAUACAUUACCUAUAUAGGAGCGAACGAGGGGAAUUGAAACAUCUUAGUACCCUCAGGAAAAGAAAUCAAUAGAGAUUGCGUCAGUAGCGGCGAGCGAAAGCGCAAGAGGGCAAACCCAGUGCUUGCACUGGGGGUUGUAGGACUGCAAUGUGCAAGAGGUAAGUUUAGCAGAACAUUCUGGAAAGUAUAACCAUAGAGGGUGAUAGUCCCGUAUGCGAAAAACAAACCUUAGCUAGCAGUAUCCUGAGUAGGGCGGGACACGAGGAAUCCUGUCUGAAUCCGGGUCGACCACGAUCCAACCCUAAAUACUAAUACCAGAUCGAUAGUGCACAAGUACCGUGAGGGAAAGGUGAAAAGAACUGAGGUGAUCAGAGUGAAAUAGAACCUGAAACCAUUUGCUUACAAUCAUUCAGAGCCUUAUGUAGCAAUACAGGGUGAUGGACUGCCUUUUGCAUAAUGAGCCUGCGAGUUGUGGUGUCUGGCAAGGUUAAGCAAACGCGAAGCCGUAGCGAAAGCGAGUCUGAAUAGGGCGCUUAGUCAGAUGCUGCAGACCCGAAACGAAGUGAUCUAUCCAUGAGCAAGUUGAAGCUAGUGUAAGAACUAGUGGAGGACUGAACCCAUAGGCGUUGAAAAGCCCCGGGAUGACUUGUGGAUAGGGGUGAAAGGCCAAUCAAACUUCGUGAUAGCUGGUUCUCUCCGAAAUAUAUUUAGGUAUAGCGUUGUGUCGUAAUAUAAGGGGGUAGAGCACUGAAUGGGCUAGGGCAUACACCAAUGUACCAAACCCUAUCAAACUCCGAAUACCUUAUAUGUAAUCACAGCAGUCAGGCGGCGAGUGAUAAAAUCCGUCGUCAAGAGGGAAACAACCCAGACUACCAGCUAAGGUCCCUAAAUCUUACUUAAGUGGAAAACGAUGUGAAGUUACUUAAACAACCAGGAGGUUGGCUUAGAAGCAGCCAUCCUUUAAAGAAAGCGUAAUAGCUCACUGGUCUAGUGAUUUUGCGCGGAAAAUAUAACGGGGCUAAAGUAAGUACCGAAGCUGUAGACUUGCACACAACUUAGAUUAUUUAAGUUUAGAAUAUGAGAAACUAAGUUAUAUGUUUAGUUAUAUUUUUACUGAUUUUUAUAGAGUAAAGAUAGAAAUAAAACUUAGUAAAAUCAGUAAAAAUAUUCUUAGACUAAAGUUAAGUAGUUUAAGUUGUGUGCAAGUGGUAGGAGAGCGUUCUAUUUGCGUCGAAGGUAUACCGGUAAGGAGUGCUGGAGCGAAUAGAAGUGAGCAUGCAGGCAUGAGUAGCGAUAAUUAAUGUGAGAAUCAUUAACGCCGUAAACCCAAGGUUUCCUACGCGAUGCUCGUCAUCGUAGGGUUAGUCGGGUCCUAAGUCGAGUCCGAAAGGGGUAGACGAUGGCAAAUUGGUUAAUAUUCCAAUACCAACAUUAGUGUGCGAUGGAAGGACGCUUAGGGCUAAGGGGGCUAGCGGAUGGAAGUGCU